UACAGAGGUCUCAAGCGUUGUUCGGAUUCAUUGGGCGUAAAGGGUCCGUAGGCGGUUUAAUAAGUCAGUGGUGAAAGCCCAUCGCUCAACGGUGGAACGGCCAUUGAUACUGUUAAACUUGAAUUAUUAGGAAGUAACUAGAAUAUGUAGUGUAGCGGUGAAAUGCUUAGAGAUUACAUGGAAUACCAAUUGCGAAGGCAGGUUACUACUAAUGGAUUGACGCUGAUGGACGAAAGCGUGGGUAGCGAACAGG
rnacentral:rRNA from 1 species